AACGAACGCUGGCGGCAUGCCUAACACAUGCAAGUCGAACGAAGUCUUCGGACUUAGUGGCGCACGGGUGCGUAACGCGUGGGAAUCUGCCCUUGGGUGCGAAAUAACUUCUCGAAAGGGAUGCUAAUACCGCAUAAUGUCGUAAGACCAAAGAUUUAUCGCCCAAGGAUGAGCCCGCGUAAGAUUAGCUAGUUGGUGGGUAAAAGCCUACCAAGGCGACGAUCUUUAGCUGGUCUGAGAGGAUGAUCAGCCACACUGGGAUUGAGACACGGCCCAGACUCCUACGGGAGGCAGCAGUGGGGAAUAUUGGACAAUGGGCGAAAGCCUGAUCCAGCAAUGCCGCGUGAGUGAUGAAGGCCCUAGGGUUGUAAAGCUCUUUUUACCAGGGUAUGAUAAUGACAGUACCUGGAGAAUAAGCUCCGGCUGACUCCGUGCCAGCAGCCGCGGUAA
rnacentral:rRNA from 1 species